UACAGAGGGGGCAAGCGUUAUUCGGAAUUAUUGGGCGUAAAGGGCGCGUAGGCGGCCUGACAAGUGGAAGGUGAAAUCCCUCGGCUUAACCGAGGAACUGCCCUCCAAACUGUCUGGCUUGAGACCGGGAGAGGUGAGUGGAAUUCCCAGUGUAGCGGUGAAAUGCGUAGAUAUUGGGAGGAACACCCGUGGCGAAAGCGGCUCUCUGGGACGGUACUGACGCUGAGACGCGAAAGCGUGGGGAGCAAACAGG
rnacentral:rRNA from 1 species